UUUAAGCAGGACGGGUAGCCCGAUCGGCUCAUGGGGUGGUUAUAUUUCUGACCGGUAAAAGUUGCGUACCUGCUUCACACACACGUAGUUUGCAAAUCAGAUACUGAUAGCUAAAUGUGGAAACGAGAAGAGAGCAGGAGAACAAUGGCAGGAGGGAAUUUAUGAAAUAAGCGAGUGUGUUUAUGCAUAGGGGAAAGUGAGGUCGAGAGAGAGAGAGAGCGAGUUCUUUCCUUCUGCCCUUGAGCGCCUAGGACAAAACCGAAAUCGCAAAAAGUAACGGAACAUUAAUUGAGGCAGUACCACUUCUGGAAAAAGUAUUGAAAUAUAAUACAUUUCGAACAAGAAGUCAACUAUUGUGCGUACGGGAUGUAUGGGAUACCAUCCUAACGCACUGCUUUCCUCAAAGUAUAAAAACAGAAGGGAAACAAACAGAAGGGGAGAGCAUCUCAUCUAAUCCUCUUACAGAAGGGAAUACGGUAACGUUAAGCUUUAUUUCAACGACGAACCAAUGCUGAGGCUUUUGAAUGCUGAUAACACUUUUGCAAAGGAUGCACCCAUGACAGAAUGAUCAAAUUUUCCCGGAGCAAUUUGCCAACGAUGGAGCAUGUAAAUACUUCAUUUGACUGACGUGAAAACACAACAACAUCUCAUCUAGAGAGCUUCUGAGUGGACAGCGGGAAUAUUCUCAAUGCUCUACUCAUGGACAUAUCGACUGUUUUUAGCAUGGCUUGCAUGGAGUGCCAAAGGGGGUCGAUCUGAGAAAGAUUUAGCGCUGUAUACAUUUCUAAUAAAAUAAGUUAUUGUAACUAUAAUUUAAAGUAAUACUUGAAUUUGAAUUGUUUUUAACAUAAGAUAACAAAUACUUCAAAACAGAAGUGUAACUUAUUUAGGCAGGCAUACAUUUGUAUACAAAACCAGCAGAGUUGUAAGGCUGUAUCCUGCAAGCGGCAGGUGUCUCUCCCAACAUGAAAACCAACCGGAUUCCAAGCUGAUCCUCUCCCUGUGUGGACCGACGGUGGCACCACUUCCCUCUUCCCUCCGGACUCUCGGUCUUGGACCAUGGGUGUGGUCUCUACGAGUGCCAUGCUCUCACAGGUGCUUUUUCUUUUGCACUUUGUUACUCUGACCCUUGGCCAGUAUGACAUAUGCAAGUCGCUGUUUAGUACGGACGAUGGACCAACAUGGGAGUUUUAUGCGUGCCAGCCAAAACCAAUGGCUAUGAAGGAGUUCGUGCAAAUUAGAGUGGAUCCUCCUGGCAUCACUUGCGGCAACCCCCCGGAGAGGUUCUGUACCCUGGAGAACCCCUACCUGUGUAGUGACGAGUGUGACGCCUCCAACCCGGACCUGGCUCACCCUCCCCAGCUGAUGCAGGAUCGUGAGCGCAGCGGCCUCAUCACCUAUUGGCAGACGGUGACAUGGAGCCGCUACCCGGAGCCCCUGCUGGCCAACAUCUCCCUGGCCUGGAACAAGAGCCUGGAGUUGACCGACGACAUUCAGGUCACCUUCGAGUAUGGCCGCCCCACCAUGAUGGUGCUGGACAAGUCCCUAGACAAAGGGCGCACCUGGCAGCCCUACCAGUUCUACGCCGACGACUGCAUGGAAGCCUUCGGUAUGCCCGCUAAGCGGGUGCAGGACCUGUCGGCCACCAAUGUGACGCGGGUCAUCUGCACAGAGCAGUACUCUCGCUGGGUGGGCUCCAAGAACGAGAAGGUGCUGCGCUUCGAGGUGAUGGCACGCUUCACUAUCUUCACGGGGCCCAAGCUGCUCAACAUGGACAGUCUGUACACACGCAUGGAGAGUAUGAAGGGCCUGAGGGACUUCUUCACUUUCACCAACCUGAGACUGAGGCUGCUGAGGCCGGCCCUGGGGGGAACCUACGUCCAGAAAGACAACCUCCUCAAAUACUUCUACGCCAUCUCCAACAUAGAGGUACCAGCCAGGUGUAAGUGUAACCUCCAUGCUGGCCAGUGCACCUUUCGGGAGGGAAGCCUGCAGUGUGACUGUGAACACAAUACGACGGGCCAAGACUGCACUCGCUGUGAGAGGGGCUUCAAAGCCAAGUCAUGGAAACCUGGAUCGUACCUACCCACCCCCAACGGAUCCCCCAAUACCUGUGAUGCUGCUGGGACUCUUGGCAACAUCACCACCUUCACUGACAUAGUGACAGCUGUGGUGGGUCCCACAUCCAGCACAAAGCUCAGUGACUCCCUAACUGACACACCAGUGCUGCUUCUGGCAACAGAUCAAACGUCUGUGCCAGCCACGAUACCAGCCACUCUUCCAGCCAGUAUGUCAGACACUGUGCCAGUCUCUGCCAGUCCCGACCAGACAGACAGUCCAUCCUUAACCACAGUGAACUUUCCCCCAAUGGAGGUAAAUCCCCCCACAACCACAGUGAGAGCGCAGCCGAAAGUUACUGAAUCAUCUGAUGCAGCUGAUGCCACAUCUGACUCAGUCACACCAUCAUCUGAUGCAACCACUCCAACAUCAGUUGGAUUUACUCUCACACCUGACAGCACAACGACAACUUCUUACACAGUGACUUCUGACACCAGUACCACAGCAUCUGACACAAGUACUACUACAUCUGACACAAGUACGACUACAUCUGAAACAAGUACUACAACAUCUGAAACAAGUACUACAACAUCUGAAACAAGUACUACUACAUCUGACACAAGUACCACAGCAUCUGACACAAGUACCACAGCAUCUGACACAAGUACCACAGCAUCUGACACAAGUACGGCUACAUCUGAAACAAGUACUACAACAUCUGACACAAGUACCACAACAUCUGACACAAGUACCACAGCAUCUGACACAAGUACGGCUACAUCUGAAACAAGUACUACAACAUCUGACACAAGUACCACAGCAUCUGACACAAGUACCACAGCAUCUGACACAAGUACCACAGCAUCUGACACAAGUACCACAGCAUCUGAAACAAGUACUACAACAUCUGACACAAGUACCACAGCAUCUGACACAAGUACCACAGCAUCUGACACAAGUACCACAGCAUCUGACACAAGUACCACAGCAUCUGAAACAAGUACUACAACAUCUGACACAAGUACCACAGCAUCUGACACAAGUACCACAGCAUCCGACACAAGUACCACAGCAUCUGACACAAGUACCACAGCAUCUGACACAAGUACCACAGCAUCUGACACAAGUACUACAUCAUCUGACACAAGUACUACAUUUGACACAAGUUCAACAACAACUGAGAGAAGUACUACAAUAUUUGACACAAUUGCAACACUAUUUGACAUUAGUAUUACACCUUCGGUGACUACUACUAACACAGUUGACACAAGUACCACAACAUUUGACACAAGUACCACAACAUUUGACACAACCACCACAGUAUCAGACACAAGUAUCACAACAUUUUACACAAGUACUACAUUUCUAAUAAGUACUAAAACAUCUUACACAAAUAUUUAUUUUGACACAAGUUCUACAACAACUGACACAAGUACUGUAUCUGACUCAAGUACUACAAUAUUUGACACAAUGACUUCAACAUCUGAUAUAUUUACCACAACUUAUGGCACUAUUACUUCAGCAUCUGAUGUAUUCACUUCAACAUCUGGUGUGCCCUUUCUGGCAUCGGACACAGUUACUCCAGCAUCUGAUGUAGUAACACCACCAACAGAUGGAUUUACCUCAACCCCUGAUGAUACAUUUAUUCCAGCAUCUGAGGGAGAUACACCCGCCUCUGACGUGGCUACUUCAGUAUCUGAUGGACUAACCUCACAACCUGAUGAUGCUCCUUCAACACCUCAAGCAGUUCCUCAAACUCCCGACACGGUUUCCUCAGCACCUGAUCCUCUAUCCCGUACACCGGGUAGAGACACCACCCAAGCUCCAGACAAAUCUACUCCAGCACCUGACACAGAUACCUCAAGAUCUGUUUCUGCUACCCUGGCACCUGUUGUAGCUACUACAGCUCCAGACUCAUCUCCAGCAGCUCCUGAUCCUGCUACCCCAUCUCCUGAUGUAGGACCAGUUCCUGAUUCAGUUGAUCCAGCUCCUGAUUCAGUUGAUCCAGCUCCUGAUGUAGGACCAGCUCUUGAUUCAGUUGAUUCAUUUCCUGAUUCAGUUGAUCCAGCUCCUGAUACAGGACCAUCUCCUGAUGCUGUUGAUCCAGCUCCUGGUGUUGGACCAGUUCCUGAUUCAGUUUAUCCAGCUCCUGAUGUAGGACCAGCUCUUGAUUCAGUUGAUUCAUUUCCUGAUUCAGUUGAUCCAGCUCCUGAUACAGUUGAUCCAGCUCCUGAUGAUGCUGUUGAUCCAGCCCCUGAUGCAGGACCAGCUCCUGAUUCAAUUUAUCCAGCUCUUGAUUCAGCUCCUGAUUCAGGACCAGCUCCUGAUGCUGCCGCUCCAAUGCCUGAUGCUGGGGUCGGUGAGAAAGUGGAAAAUAAAGAAGAAAAUGUUAAAGAGGAAAAAGGUACACCGUGAUAUAGCAACAAUACCCUCUUAUUUUUUCAUUUACAAGUGUAUGAAUAUUCCAUCAGUAAACUAUGGUAAAACUGCAAAUGUUGAAGGAACUAUCCCACUGGGCACAGAAGUCAUUUCAACGUCUAGUUUUGAUUUUAUAUUUGGUUGACCAAUCAGUUUUCUAUAUUGAUUCAACAACAACAUUAUGUGGAGCCAACGUUGAAUUAACCAAUAUUUGCCCAGUGGUAUAUUUAGAAUGUACAAUGUUAUCCUCUAAUGUACAGUUGUGUAUGCAGUCUAUAUGCUGCUAAUAGGCAGUUGUGUCAGUAAGGUUUUAUGACCUUUACACGAGCUGUUGCCUUAUUGUCUCAACCAUUUGACAAAGCCAUUAUCUAAAGGGUCAUUCAGCAUGAAUAAAAAAUGAGUAAAAAGUUUGAAGUUGCUUUUUUUCUGAUCUCUCAAUCUCUCCGAUGUACACAGUUACCCCCAUAACUGAAGCCAAAGGGGAAAGCAAAGAGGAAGAGAAAAAAAAAUAUUUUCAAACGAAAGACAAUGAGAAAAAAGGUAUAUUGAUUAACAGUAGUCUAGUAGUAUUUGUACUGUAUGUUGUGUGUGUUACAAAAUAUAGUUGUGUCAGAUUUAAAAAUAGUUUAGUAUGAUCCAACAACUCCUCUGUUAUGGAAGCAGAUGGGGAUCUGUGAAACUCACUCCUCAGCCUGAAGUGAAUCCACUUGAGCUGCUGAACAGUUAGCUUUUUGGUGGAGCAACUGGGUAGACACUUCAGAAGGGGGGUCAUGUGUGUUUGCGAGGCAGAGGUCCUGGGUUCAAGCCUUGAUAUGAGCUGAAUCAGGAGGAAGCGGUACUCGUUAAGCAAGCAGCGUGACAUCCUUUACAAUGGUGCCAAUUGACUCAGAUCUGCAGUUGCGCUCAGCUCAAUGCUGGGUUCCCCGUGGAGGGAAUUUGGGGGGGGGUGAAGGUAGCAGAUGGGGAUCUAUGAAACUCCACUCGUGCUGCCGAACAGCUAGCUGGGUAAGACGCUUCAGGAGGGCGGCCAUGUUUGUUUGCGAGGCAGAGGUCCCGGGUUCAAGCCUGAAUCAGGAGGGAGCGGUACUCGCUAAGCAAGCAGUGUGACGUCCUUUACAUUAGCGUUAGCAUGUCAAUUUGUAGUGGUGUCAGUAACCAUUCAUGUUGAAUUCCCUGAACCAACUCAAUGGGGUUGAAGUUGGAGUGUUAGUCACCUGGUUGCUAUAGGAAAACAUCCCCACUGGGUGUCAGAGCGCAAACAGAUAAUUGAUGGACAAAAUAGGUUGCGGAAAAGCCAUUUUUGGAUGAGCCCAUGUCCCAGUAGGAUACCUGAUCCAUGGUUUCAGGAGGCUAUUGACUCAAAGCACCAGGCUGCUGACAAGCAUUAGAAGUCGUCUGUGUGUUUGUCAAACCUAGAGCAGCUAAUGUAUUUUUGUUGUUGACAAGGAUCAUGUGGUACAGAAUAUGCCACAUAGUAUUGUGUGGGUGAUUCUGUCACCACUCAGACUCCACUCAUCAGCUAUAGCUGAACCAGUAUUGCAAACUAAACAUCUUUGCUAUGGACUAUGAUUCCAAUCACUUGAUUUGGCACUAAACGGGAGAAACGGACUGAAGCUCAUUUCGUGUUAUGUUUAAAUGUUAAAAUAAAAUAAUUGUUACGUUUCCCUAAUAAACACAACCCAGGUAGGCAUUUUAUUGCUGGUGAGAUGGAUUGUCUGAAUGGGACUGAGAUGUUGUUCUUGUAGGAAUGAAUAUCUACACUUUGUGAAUGACUAAACGUUGUGGUAAUAUACAAUACUGUGUGUUAAUGUGUAGAUUUCAAUGGUUUAUGGAAUGUAUGAGGUCUUUCUCUGUGAAUCAUGCAAGAUGUCUGAGCAGUUGGCACCCUAUUUGUGUUUCAGGAUUCCUUUGGCAUCAAUUGUAUAUUUUAGUAGCCAUGAUAUUUCAGACACUGUGUAGUAGAGGCUUGUACACAUUGGCAUGUUAGUAUUAUCUAUAACACAGUUAAAUAGAUGCUUUAUUUCCCAAGCGGUUGUAAAACUGCUGAUUCCUGGUGGGUCCAAAUACAGCGAGUCUAAGGUUGCAUACGUCCAGUUUCAAGGUAAGACAUGAUUGACCACACUGAAGCUUUGAAUCUGUUUGGACUAGAGAACUGUGGAAAAAUGACCAACGUUUGUCUAGUCUUUUUCCUUCAUUCAUUUGUCUUUUUGUUUUUUUCCCCCCAUGCGUUUUUAUGUUGCACGUUUGGGUUUUGUUUGCUUCGUAAGGUAAGCAACUUAUUUCCCCUCCAUUUAUAGUAUUACUGUCGUUACCUUUUUAUUGUGAACUUGUAAUGAAAUCUCAGAACCUAUAGGUUCUGUGUCGCAACGGAUUGUAUAGUGUCAUUUGUGUGGAUGACUGUGGAUUCCUUUGUGAGACAGUGACCAUUCUUUCAACAAUCUGUAGGGUAAUAGGCCCAUUCAUUUGUGAUAAGCUGUUUUUGCCCCCCCGUCCCACUGCUCUACUCUGUGGUACAGCAGGUCUUCAUAUUACACCAGCAGCAUCUUUUUUAAAUAGCGUGUCAAUACUGAAUCCCCUCUAAGCAAAGAGAAGUAACAUGAUGCCUGAUUAAAUAACUAAACUGUCAGCUAAAUCGUCUUGUACAUUAGCAUUAAAAACAAUUUUAUUCAGAUUCUUGUAGUAUGAUGGAACAAACUCCCUAAAGCAUUAUAAGCUUCAUUGUGACAUCAUAUAUAUUGUAUAUGUAUAUAUUGAUUUACACCUAAUUAAAAUAUGAUAUAUAUAUAUAUAUAAUAUUUUAUUUAGGUGUAAAUCAAUGAAUCAAUCGAAAAAUAUAUAAUGCAAACUAAAUUGACACCUUGGUGUGUUUGCUCUACCAAUUGUUUUUAUCCCUUGGUAAAUCAAUGUGCAGUAUUCAGAGGCCUGAUUGUUAGCUGGUUGAAUAUGGCAGAUUUGAGCUUUUUGAGGUCAAGUGAUUUCCCAUGGGGCCACAAAGUCAGGAACUGGUUUCGGAACUCAGCAUACUUCAGCUCUAUGGAGCUUGCUAUGUCUUGCCUAUUUGGCUUUUGUAUGAUGAGUGAAACAGUUUUGGGGUAUACCUAAAUCUCUGAGUGCUACCUCUGCAUUUGAAUAGGACUCCAUUCCUCCUCUUCCUCUUCCUCAUCCUCCAGCACCUUGUACUAACCCUACUCUGCUCUUCCCCCCCUGUCAGACUGCGAGUGCUAUGGCCACUCGAACCGCUGCAGUUAUAUUGACUUUAUCAACAUCGUGACUUGCGUCAGCUGUAAACACAACACUAGGGGGCAGAACUGUCAGCACUGCCGACUGGGAUUCUUCCGGAAUGUCUCUGCCGAGCUGGACGAUGAGAACGUUUGUAUAGAGUGUAAUUGUAAUCAGCU